rnacentral:tRNA from 2 species
GGCACGGUGGUGAAGUAGUUUAACACCUUGGUCUGCAAAACCAAUAUGCGCGGGUGCAAGUCCCGCCCGUGCCUCAA